UGAGGAAUAUUGGGCAAUGCCCGCAAGGGUGACCCAGCAACGCCGCGUGGAGGAUGAAUGCCGUAAGGUUGUAAACUCCUUUUGAAGGGGACGAAAAAACAGAUAGACUCUGUAUUGACUGUACCCUUAGAAGAAGCCCCGGCUAACUACGUGCCAGCAGCCGCGGUAAUACGUAGGGGGCAAGCGUUGUCCGGAUUUACUGGGUGUAAAGGGCGCGUAGGCGGGUUUGUUAGUCAGAGGUGAAAUCCUGCAGCUUAACUGUAGAACUGCCUCUGAUACUGCAAAUCUUGAGUUCAGAAGAGAGAAGCGGAAUUCCAGGUGUAGUAGUGAAAUACGUAGAUAUCUGGAAGAACACCAGUGGCGAAGGCGGCUUCUUGGUCUGUAACUGACGCUGAGGCGCGAAAGCGUGGGGAGCAAACAGG
rnacentral:rRNA from 1 species